rnacentral:ribozyme from 13 species
CAGAAGCAAACCAAAAGAGAAAAAGAAUCAAAAAGAAAAAAUCAGAUGAUUCAGAAGAUGACAUCAUCUUCUCUUCUUCUCCUUCUCCCUCUUCUCCUUCUUC